GCCCAGGUAGCUCAGUUGGUAGAGCAGCGGACUGAAAAUCCGCGUGUCGGUGGUUCGAUCCCGCCCCUGGGCA
rnacentral:tRNA from 1 species